rnacentral:rRNA from 1 species
AUUGAACGCUGGCGGCAUGCUUUACACAUGCAAGUCGAACGGCAGCGGGGUAGUGCUUGCACUACUGCCGGCGAGUGGCGAACGGGUGAGUAAUAUAUCGGAACGUACCGAGUAAUGGGGGAUAACCAAUCGAAAGAUUGGCUAAUACCGCAUACGUCCUGAGGGAGAAAGCGGGGGAUCGCAAGACCUCGCGUUAUUCGAGCGGCCGAUAACUGAUUAGCUAGUUGGUGGGGUAAAGGCCUACCAAGGCGACGAUCAGUAGCGGGUCUGAGAGGACGAUCCGCCACACUGGGACUGAGACACGGCCCAGACUCCUACGGGAGGCAGCAGUGGGGAAUUUUGGACAAUGGGGGCAACCCUGAUCCAGCCAUGCCGCGUGUAUGAAGAAGGCCUUCGGGUUGUAAAGUACUUUUGUUAGGGAAGAAAAGGGAAGUGCUAAUACCACUUUUUGCUGACGGUACCUAAAGAAUAAGCACCGACUAACUACGUG